UACGAAGGGGGGCUAGCGUUGUUCGGAAUUACUGGGCGUAAAGGGCGCGUAGGCGGUCCUGAUCGUCGGAUGUGAAAGGCCUGGGCUCAACCUGGGAAUGGCAUCCGAUACGGCGGGACUGGAGUGUGGGAGAGGUUGGUGGAAUUCCCAGUGUAGAGGUGAAAUUCGUAGAUAUUGGGAAGAACACCGGUGGCGAAGGCGGCCAACUGGACCACAACUGACGCUGAGGCGCGAAAGCGUGGGGAGCAAACAGG
rnacentral:rRNA from 1 species